rnacentral:rRNA from 1 species
GUAGGGAAUAUUGGGCAAUGGUCGGAAGACUGACCCAGCCAUGCCGCGUGCAGGAAGACGGCCCUCUGGGUUGUAAACUGCUUUUAUCUGGGAAGAAAAGGCCAUGCGUGGCAAAUUGCCGGUACCAGAUGAAUAAGCACCGGCUAACUCCGUGCCAGCAGCCGCGGUAAUACGGAGGGUGCGAGCGUUGUCCGGAUUUAUUGGGUUUAAAGGGUGCGUAGGCGGCUGAUUAAGUCAGCGGUGAAAGACUUCGGCUUAACCGGAGCAGUGCCGUUGAUACUGGUUGGCUUGAGUGUCGGAGGGGUACAUGGAAUUGAUGGUGUAGCGGUGAAAUGCAUAGAUACCAUCAGGAACACCGAUAGCGAAGGCAUUGUACUGGCCGACAACUGACGCUGAUGCACGAAAGUGUGGGGAUCGAACAGGAUUAGAUACCCUGGUAGUCC